rnacentral:rRNA from 1 species
GUGGGGAAUCUUCCGCAAUGGACGAAAGUCUGACGGAGCAACGCCGCGUGAGUGAAGAAGGUUUUCGGAUCGUAAAGCUCUUUCGUUAGGGACGAACGUGCUCUUUGUGAAUAAUGAGGAGUAAUGACGGUACCUAAAUAAGAAGCCACGGCUAACUACGUGCCAGCAGCCGCGGUAAUACGUAGGUGGCAAGCGUUGUCCGGAAUUAUUGGGCGUAAAGCGCGCGCAGGCGGGAGAUCAAGUCUGGCUGAAAAGUGCGAGGCUCAACCUCGGGAGGGGGCAGAAACUGGUAUUCUUGAGGGUCGGAGAAGAAAGUGGAAUUCCAAGUGGAGCGGUGAAAUGCGUAGAGAUUUGGAAGAACACCAGUGGCGAAGGCGACUUUCUGGACGAUGUCUGACGCUGAGGCGCGAAAGCUAGGGGAGCGAACGGGAUUAGAAACCCCUGUAGUCC